rnacentral:rRNA from 1 species
UACGUAGGGGGCAAGCGUUGUCCGGAUUUAUUGGGCGUAAAGAGCGUGUAGGCGGCCAGAUAGGUCCGUUGUGAAAACUCGAGGCUCAACCUCGAGACGCCGAUGGAAACCAUGUGGCUAGAGUCCGGAAGAGGAGAGUGGAAUUCCUGGUGUAGCGGUGAAAUGCGCAGAUGUCAGGAAGAACACCCGUGGCUAAGGCGGCUCUCUAGUACGGUACUGACGCUGAGACGCGAAAGCGUGGGGAGCGAACAGG